rnacentral:precursor_RNA from 13 species
GGCCCCUCUAGGGUUUGUGGGGAUGGGAAAUGUGGUUGCCCAAUUAGUCCCUGUGCCAACAAAGAAAAACAGUGACCUAGUGGGAAACCAUAGCUCCCACCUUAUCCUUAUCCACAAUUCCCGC